UGAAGUGGGGAGCGAGCAGCAGCGGAAGAGGGAAGUUGGGGAACGUUAUUGGGAAGCUCUGGGCGUAAAGGGUGCGUGGGCGGCGGCACAAGGCAGGGGGGAAAUCCCCCGGCUCAACCGGGGAAUAGCGCUUGAAACUAGGGCGCUCGAGUGAGGCAGGGGGGCAGGGAACUUCCGGUGGAGCGGGGAAAGGUGUAGAGAUCGGAAGGAACGCCGGCGGCGAAAGCGGUGCACUGGGCCUUGUCUGACGCUGAGGCACGAAAGCUAGGGGAGUGAACGGGAUUAGAUACCCGAGUAGUC
rnacentral:rRNA from 1 species